GGGCGAGUAGCUCAAUGGCAGAGCAUCGCGUUUACAUCGCGAGGGUUAUAGGUUCAAGUCCUUUCUCGCCCAC
rnacentral:tRNA from 1 species